rnacentral:rRNA from 1 species
UACGUAGGUGGCGAGCGUUGUCCGGAUUUACUGGGCGUAAAGAGCGCGCAGGCGGUCGUGCAAGUCGCGUGUGAAAGCCCCCGGCUCAACUGGGGAGGGUCACGCGAUACUGCUCGACUUGAAGGCAGGAGAGGAGAGUGGAAUUCCUGGUGUAGCGGUGAAAUGCGCAGAUAUCAGGAAGAACACCCGUGGCGAAGGCGGCUCUCUGGGACGGUACUGACGCUGAGACGCGAAGGCGUGGGGGAGCGAACAGG